ensembl:snRNA Gm24390 U7 small nuclear RNA
AGCUAGUAUAGCUCUUUUAGAAUUUUUCUGGUGAGUUUUCUGACUUUGGUUGGAAAACCCAA